rnacentral:rRNA from 1 species
UUUGCCUACGGGGCGCAGCAGUGAGGAAUAUUGGUCAAUGGGCGAGAGCCUGAACCAGCCAAGUCGCGUGAGGGAAGACGGUCCUAUGGAUUGUAAACCUCUUUUGCCGGGGAGCAAAAAGCGGUACGUGUACCGCAUCGAGAGUACCCGGAGAAAAAGCAUCGGCUAACUACGUGCCAGCAGCCGCGGUAAUACGUAGGGGGCAAGCGUUAUCCGGAUUUACUGGGUGUAAAGGGGGCGCAGACGGCGAUGCAAGCCAGGAGUGAAAGCCCGGGGCCCAACCCCGGGACUGCUCUUGGAACUGC